rnacentral:misc_RNA from 1 species
CAGCUUUUAAGGCACAAAUUGAAAAGCUUCAACAGGAACGAGAUGAAUUUCAGAGGAUGGUCAUUGGUAAUCAGCAAGUGAGGACUCAGCAAGUACAUGAAAUGNNNNNNNNAAAGGAGUACAUAAAGCUGCAGGAGAGGCUAAAUCAAGUACUGAUGGAGAAAAAGAAGGAAUCAAGAUCAGGCAUGGAGAUAAUGAAUUUGCUUCAGAAAGAAGGCAGGCAACGUGGGACAUGGAAUGGGAAGAAGGCUGAUAAUGAUUUCUAUAAGAAAAUAGUGGAUGCCUACGAGGCUAAGAAUCAAGAAUUGAUGGCAGAGAA